rnacentral:rRNA from 1 species
CCCUUAGAUGUCCUGGGCCGCACGCGCGUUACACUGAUGCAUUCAACGAGCUUAUAACCUUGGCCGAGAGGCCUGGGCAAUCUUGUUAACGUGCAUCGUGAUAGGGAUAGAUUAUUGAAAUUAUUAAUCUUGGACGAGGAAUUCCUAGUAAACGCAGAUCAUCAAUCUGCAUUGAUUACGUCCCCGCCCUUUGUACACACCGCCCGUCGCACCUACCGAUUGGAUGGUCCGGUGAAGCCUCGGGAUUGUGGUUCUUGCCGCUUUAUUGUGGCGUGACCGCGAGAACUUGUCUAAACCUUAUCAUCUAGAGGAAGGUGAAGUCGUAACA